CACAUAGUUGGUGAACGGCUGAUGAGUCGCUGCUACUUGAAAGGAUGUGAACAGCAUCGAAGAAACUUGUGUCUGAAACCAGCACGGUGCCUACAUUGAUCAGCCGAAAUUAAGUGGAGAGUCAACCGGAAGAUUGACAACACAGGCAGAGGAGGACCUAAGAGGAAAGGACCAAUUUCUACUGCAGCAAGAAUGUCAGUGACUGGGACAAGCCCUCACAAGGGUUUCCACGAGCCAUUCCUCUUUCAUUCUGAGCAUGGUCCUGGGAACCUGUGUGAAGCAAACCAGGCCAGAGAGUGGUUUGGUUUGUGUUGGCAGAGGAUUUGGGGGCACAGAAUGAAGUGGAGUGGAGACCUCCCGGGAGAUGAAGAAUAAGCUGGAAGCUAGGCAAUGUCUGAAAAUUUGAGUCUAUAAAAUUGGGCAGUGAGAACACAGGAGCCCAAGUAAAGUACGUUACACGGUAUCUAUGAGCCAAUUUGGAAAGUGGAGCCCAGAAGAGUCCCCUUGGGCACCAGAUAUGAGGCCCAAAGGAGAAGAACACCUCUUUUAGGCGAGGAGGCAUGUGUUGAAUGUUCUCGUACAAGUGUAGCUACUGCUCUAGUAACACUAACAUUUCCACCGUGGGAUUGGAGCAAGAGAGGAGCACAGCCACCAGGAGAGCAUCCGUUCUGAGAGGAAAGCUACCCCCUUCCCCACCUGCCCUGCUCGCUGCAUCUCUGCAUCUCAGCCUGAUGCUUCCCCCCACCCACCUUCCUUCUCAGAAGUCCACAGGGCUCUCCCAAAUGCCAAAUGCCACCAACACCCCGCACUUCUUCUCCAGAAUGAUGAUCUCACUUUGAUAUUUGAGACUCAGCCUUUGGGAAUGGUGUGGUUUUAUUUCUCAGUAUCACUUUUUCAAAAUUCCCGUCUGCCUUGACUUCCUUAACCCUGCAUUCUCCAGAACCUUCAGCUGUAUCUGCAAGCUCCUUCCCUCUCUCUUCAGGCUCAUCAUCCUUGAUGCAUCCUUGAAGAGGGGACUCACAGACACCUGCCCCCAGGGCUGGUGUCUCCUAACCACGUGCUCUACCGUGGACACCGCACCGUGCUGUGGCUUCUACAACGUGUCCACGAGAGCUGCUCACAGUGCUCUUGCAUAGGCCCAAACCUGAAUUUCCAGCUUCCGACUGUAUAUAUAUUUAUUUUCAAUAUUCAAGGUGAUCAUGUAAAUGUGUCCAACACACACACAAAUAUAUACAUCCGUGUUUACCAGAAACUGCUUUCCUUUAUAUAUUCCUCACUCCAGGCAAUCACAUCCCCAUUCUUGCAGUCACUGAUGCCAGAAACAGCAUGAUCGUCUCUGAUUCCACCUCCUUGUUGCCCAUGGUCCCCCAGACCAGUUGAAGGGUGUGUACUACCAGAUUUGUCCUGGGUUCAGUCUCUGCUCUACCAUUUCU